AUGCUUCAACUUUCAGAGAGUGGCCAGCUCCAAAGAAAUCACGACACAUGGCUCACAGAUCCGACCUGUGGCGAUGAUGACAGCGGGUUGGGCACAGUCAGGCUUGGCCUCGGAAGCUUCUGGGACCUUGUGCUGCUAGUCUAUUGGCAGCACUAUAUUAGGUACUCCAGCUCCGAACCUCCCGGCAAGCCAAACGACGCUGCUGCCGUCACCGCUGCAACCAUUGCUGAAAUACGGCCAGAGAAGCCAAAGCCAACACGCGUUGGCAGCUUGAAGGAACUGAUAGUGUUUGCGGACACGAAAGAGUAG
rnacentral:rRNA from 1 species